UACGUAGGGUGCAAGCGUUAUCCGGAAUUAUUGGGCGUAAAGAGCUCGUAGGCGGUGUGUCGCGUCGGCCGUGAAAACCUGCAGCUUAACUGUGGGCUUGCGGUCGAUACGGGCAUCACUGGAGUUCGGCAGGGGAGACUGGAAUUCCUGGUGUAGCGGUGAAAUGCGCAGAUAUCAGGAGGAACACCGGUGGCGAAGGCGGGUCUCUGGGCCGAUACUGACGCUGAGGAGCGAAAGCGUGGGAGCGAACAGG
rnacentral:rRNA from 1 species